rnacentral:rRNA from 1 species
GAUGAACGCUAGCGGGAGGCCUAACACAUGCAAGCCGAGCGGUAGAGUUUCUUCGGAAACUUGAGAGCGGCGUACGGGUGCGGAACACGUGUGCAACCUGCCUUUAUCUGGGAGAUAGCCUUUCGAAAGGAAGAUUAAUAUCCCAUAAUAUAUUAAGUGGCAUCGCUUGAUAUUGAAAGCUCCGGCGGAUAGAGAUGGGCACGCGCAAGAGUAGCUAGUUGGUGAGGUAGCGGCUCACCAAGUCAGUGAUCUUUAGGGGGCCUGAGAGGGUGAUCCCCCACACUGGUACUGAGACACGGACCAGACUCCUACGGGAGGCAGCAGUGAGGAAUAUUGGACAAUGGGUGCAAGCCUGAUCCAGCCAUCCCGCGUGAAGGACGACGGUUCUAUGGAUUGUAAACUUCUUUUAUAUAGGGAUAAACCUACUUUCGUGAGGGUAGCUGAAGGUACUAUAUGAAUAAGCACCGGCUAACUCCGUGCCAGCAGCCGCCGGUAA